rfam:Gossypium raimondii chromosome 6, whole genome shotgun sequence.
AAUCCAUGCAUCAAACAUUUUUGAAUUAACUCCUUAAAUCAUUCCCAAGCCUCAUAUAGUAUCUCAUCCUCCAUUUGUCAAAAAGAUGUGAUGUCAUUUCUCAUAUU